AGUGGAAGCCGGAGUGACGCGUUGUGUUGAACACCAGUUUUCUGGAGCGCUGUGUGUUCUUAACAGCUGAGCAGUCUGUUUCUCCAAUCAGGUUUCAAAGCCACUUCAACUGCACUGGCCCCUGUGGGUCACUGCUGCACCGCCCUGACCCAUGUGGGUCCCUGAGGAGCGACCUGCCGGGGCCACCUGGCUGGACGAAAAAGACACACCUUGGACUUAAGCCGUGAGAAAAAAACUUCAUCAGUAAGAAGAAUGAAUAAACAGACUAGGUUGAAUCCAUACAAUGGAAUGUUAGCAGACAAUAAAAAGAAAAUGAACUAUUGAUGUCCCCUACUGCACAGCAGAAGCUCUGAAUCGUGUUCCUGAAUGAAAGAAGUCAGGCAGGUUCUUCAGGAGGGAUUCCAGAACAAGGCACUCUCAUCACAGGAGAUGACAGCUCCAUGUGCAUGACGGCCCCAGAAGACCAUCUGGUAGGACAAGAUGUGGAGGUGGAACGCAGUGAUAUUGAUAAUCCUGACCCUGGAGAUGAAAAGAUGGGCCAGGAGUCCAGUUUCUGGAAGGCCAAGAAUCGAAGUAGCAAGCUGCAGCCGUUUUCCAGACAAGCAGGAUGUGGGGAUGCAGAAGAAUUCAGGACUGGAGGGGCAAACUCCGUAAGCAGGGGCUGUCACGAUUCCCAUCUCCCUCUAUAAACCUCUCUCUUUUCAUGUCAUACUGUUCCAUGUUAUAUGUAACUGUUUUAAAGCUACAUACUGGACAAAAAGUGGAAUAGACUCCAGCCUCUGAAUUGUUAAAUAAGCUGAUGACAAACCUUCACAUUUUCUCCAUCAGGAUGUGACUGAGGCCCCACUGCCAAAUGGCAGCAUGCUCAGAUAGCACCCAGGAAUUUGGGGAAAAAAACUGGUGCUCACAGCUGCCCAGUUAAGGCACAAGUCUCCCGCCUGCUGCAGGUAUGUGGGUGGGACAAGUGGGUCAGUCCACAGAACAAAAGGUAUGUAAAGGAGGCCUUCUUUUUGGGAAAUCCUUUGUAGAUCCACCACCCACACCUUAGUCACAAGCCCAGAAGGGGCUGAAAAUGACAUUUCCAAGGGGCACAGGCUGCCAGCCAUCACAAAGCACACUAUCUGGUGGGGGAGAUAUGGCUAUCGCAGAGUUUUCACCCACGAGCUGGAGUUCUUUGUUCUGAAUGCAUGCCCUGCUUUCAGUAUGGUUUCCUUGGCAGUCAAAAAGAUGCUAAUCAAAUGCCCCAUUGAUAGCUUUAUGAAUGAAAGGAUGUGUAUUUUAAGAGAGCUUUUUGCCGGCACCCAAUUACACUGAUAAACUUUUCGCAGUCUGACAGGAAUUAGUUUCAAAUAAGUGGUGACAUUUAAACAACAACAAACCUCAAGGCCAUGAUUAAGCAGCCACACUCUCAAGCACCCUCCUGCUCCACCGAUCAUUGUCAAGUCCCCUUGCAGAUGCCUGUUUGGCUGCCCAGGCCGGGAGUGCUGGCUACUGCCGGCUAAGCAGACAUCUUGCUCUGCUCCUCGGACCCUUUCCCAAUAUCUCCUCUGGACCUGGGAGCCCCAUUCCGGUCUGUCUGUAUUUGCAGGGGUUGUGAGGUGUAUCAGAACCUUGAAGAGAUACUCUGGGAAGAAAGGCCUUCCCAGACUGCCUCUCCGCAGCGCUGUAAGAAUCAGAUUUCUUCUAUGGGGGACUUCCAGGUCUCUUCAGCAUUUUCUCAGUCAUCACUGUAUCCCUGCCACUCAGUGAACCACAGCAACAACUCCCAGCUUCCAGCCGAGAAGCUUGACCCUGAAGCUGGCCUCGAUUCUCUACAGAAGUGAGGCCACAGAGCACAGGUGAAGGGCCACUUACCUGGUAUCAUCUCUGGUCUCAGCUCUGGAGAACUAGCUCCUCUGCCACUGCCACAUCCUGUCCACCAAGACCUCCUUGCUGAACCCCACCCCCACCCGGUGCCUCAGGACCCUAACUUGUUUGCUGACCUCCAUGUCCUCUCACCAGAUCCAGCCCUGGGGAGCUGAACUUCCUCUGGCCCACUGCCAGCUCUGGAUCAGUCCACACCCCAGCCAGCCACAGCCCAGCCCUGCCUCUCUCUGUCUCUCUCUCAUGGCUGGGUUGGCCUUGGCCAAUGCUCUCUCUAGAGAUCAAGACACAGGCACCUCUCUUGGUCUGUUCUGGCUGCUGUGACAAAAUGCCUUAAGCUGGGUGGCUUAUAAACCACAGAAAUUUAUUUCUCACUGUUCUGGAGGCUGGGAAGUCCUACAGACUGGGGUACUGGCCUGCUUGUUUCCUCGUGAGGGCUCUCUUCCUGGGUUGCAGAUGGACAUCUCCCUGAUGUAUCUUCACAUGGCAGAGAGAGAGAGAGAGAGAGACAGAAAGACAGAGAAAGAGAGAGAGAGAGAGAGAGAGCAUGCUCUUUGGUCUCUUCUGGUAAGGGCCUAAUCCCGUCAUGAAGAAUCCCCAUAACUUCAACUAAAUCUAAUCACUUCUCAAAGGCUCCAUCUCCACAUACCAUCCCAUUGUGGGUUAGGGUUUCAACAUAGGAAUUCUGGAGGCACACAAACGUGCAGUUCAAAACAUGUGGAGACAAGGGGGCAAGGACUAGAGAGCCCUACCAUCCUCGUUCAAACCCUUGAAUCAAGCCUGAAGUCAAAGAACUUCCUUUGGAGAGCCCCAUUCCAUGAGCCGAUAAUUUCCCCAUUUUGCCAUCACCCACUUGAGUUUGGGAUUUUCCCCCAGUUACUGAGUGCCUGACUGACAUGAUGCCCCCCACAGAUGGGCCUCCCUGCCCCCAAUCUCACCUCCUCUGUUAGUUUCCUGGGGUUGCCACAACAAAGCGUUACAGGCAGAGCGGCUAAAACGACAGAAACUUAUGGUCUCACAGUUCUGGAGGCUGCAAGUUCAAGGUCAAGGUGUCAGCAGGGUUGGUUCCUUCGGAAGGCUGUGCAGGAGCCUGUUGGGUGCCUGUCCCUCAGCUUCUAGUGGAUUACUUCCAUCUUCAGCAUGCCUUGGCUUGUAGAAGGACUACCCUGAACUCUGCCUUCAUGGUCACAACACAUCCUCCCUGUGUGUGUUUCUGUGUCCAAAUUUCCCCUUCUUAUAAGGACACCAGUCUUAUACGGACAAUGCUCAAUGUAUGAACCUUUGCCAAGGGAUUGGAUUAGGGACCCACUAUAUUCCAGUAUGACCUCAUCUUAACUAAUUAUACCUGCAAUGACACUGCUUCCAAAGAAGGCCACAUGAUGAGGUACCGUUGGUUAGGAAUUCAAUAUAUGAGUUUGGGGGGACACAGUUCAGCCCACACCACCUCCUCUGACCCUGAAUUGGAUGCUGUUUCUGCUCUGCUUAUGAUCCUCUUGUCCUCACUGGCCUCUUGGUCCAGCACCCACUGAGGCACCAGCUCUGAGAGAGCUCACUGGCUUCACACAGGUGCGACCUGAUGGCGCCUCACCUCAUACCCCAAACAUCCUUCUCAUCUCUGCAGGACCUGCUCUGUUUAUGUCCAGGUAUGUUCAGUGUUCCUGUGUGUCCCCAGAGUGUGGGGAGGUAAUGCUCCAUGUACGAACCUUUGCCAAGGGAAUAUGGAAACCGAUGGAUGAGUUCUUACCUCUUUUUUCGUCCAGACAAACUGUCCUAAGAUGGUUUUAAGAGAUACCGAGUAAUCAGCUGCCAGCUCAGUAGCGCAUCUUCAGAUUGACUCUCCCUCCUUCCCUGUCUCCUUCCCCAUAUUCUUCAUCUUGUUCCCUGGGAUCUUUCUCCCUAAUAAAGGAAAAGCUCAUAGACCUCUGCCCCAGCUUCUGCUUUCUGGGGAAUGCAGGCCAAUCCAGCCACACUACUCUCCCUCCAUGUAACCUGACCAUGCCAUCCCCCUGCUUAAAAGCUUUCAGUGCUUCUCCAUUGCCCAUAAAGCUCAUACUUUCUAGCUAUGAGCUUCAAGGCCACUUGGAGGUCAUCUGGCCAACUGUCCUUCCUGCUACAACAGUCUAAGUCAUAGGCUUUGGAAGAUAACUGAUUGGGUUUCAUCUUUGGCUCUUAUUGAAAAUGUGGAAAAAAUUAUUUCACCUCUAUAAGCUUCAGUUUCUUCAUCUAUCUGAUCUCAGGAUUGAGGGAAGGCAAUGUAUAUAAAGCAUCUGGCACAGUGGUUGGGGCACUAAAUACAUGGCAGCCAGUGUUUAUUAUUACAAACCAGGAAACCAGGAUGCAAAGGGAGCUGCUUCAGCUCCCUUUCAGUCAGCAGACAACGGCUGUCAAACUUGGGACCAAACAGCUACAAAACCAGAUGCCCGCUCUCCACAAAUAAGAGGCUGAAGUGCAGCUCUCCACUGAUGAACUAUAACAGUUGGAAAUUCACUUGUACUAUGGAUAUUUCUUCUGCACCUCUCGUGAACAGCCUGUUCUUGCUGAGGGCUGGACAGUAAAUAAAACAUCUACAGUGCCUACUUCCAUGGGGUUCAUGUUCUAAUGAGGGAGUGGAGACCCUCAACAAAGAACCAGCCAAUGUGCUAAGUCCUGUGGCAGAAACUGGGCAGAAAAGGGAAGAGAGAGGGAGGAUGGUUAUAUUUUUACAGGAUGGUUAAAAAAUUAGUCUUCUGUUUUUUGAGACAGGCUUUCACUCUGUUGCCCAGGCUGGUGUGCAACGGUGUGAUCAUGGCUCACUGCAGCCUUGACCUUCUGUGCUUAGUCAAUCCUCCCACCUCAGCCUCCCAAGUAGCUCAGAAUACAGGCUUGUGCCACCAUGCCCAGCUGAUUUUUGUAAUUUUUGUAGAGAGAGAUGGGGUUUCACUAUGUUGUCUAGACUGGUCUCAAAUUCCUGGGCUCAAGUGAUCUGCCUGCUUUGGCCUCCCGAAGUGCUGGGAUUACAGGCACAAACCACCAUGCCCAGCCAGGAAAUUAAUCUUCUAAUAAAGGUUCACUUAAGGUGAAGGGAGCAAGGGAGAAAGUUGAUAUCAAGGGGUGGCAUUCCAAGCAGCAAGAGUAGGAAGUAGAAAGGCCUGAGGCGGGAAAGGUCUUAGCCUGUUCAAAAGAUAGCAGAGAAGCAAGCACUGCUGAAGAGGAGUGGGUGAGGGGAAGGGUAGUGGGAAGUGAGGCCAGAGAGGGGUGGAUGAUCUGCAGACACAGGUGGAGACUGUGACUGUGAAAUUUGCCCUGAAUAUGAUGGAAAGCCACUGGAGGGUUGAACAAAGUUGUAGAGGCACCUGACUAGUUUCAGUGGAUCACUCUGGCUGAAUGAGGCCAGAAAGGAGGCCUCUGCCAUGAUCUCAGUAGGGAGGACAGUGGCUUGAACCUGAAGGCAGAGCCUGGAGGCAGUGAGAAGUGGUCAUUCUGAGAACAUUUUGAAGGCACAGCUUACAGAACUCACCGAUAGAUUGGAUGAGGGUUGUGAAUAGGAGGUGAUCCCAAAGACUGUGGCCCAAGCAAAUGAAAAGCAGGACUUGCCCUUUUCUGAAAAGGAGGACACUGAGGAAGGAGGUAGCAGGGACAAAUCUGGAGUUUGCUUUUAAAUGUGCCAAGCUUGAGAUGCUGACUGGUGUCUAGGAAACACAAAGCAUGCCUGGACACCCAAAUCUGGAGGUCAGGGAGAAGUUCAGACUGGAGAUACACUGGGGAACAUUAGAGUAUUUGUGGCAUUUAGCACCAGAAAACUGGGUGAGCUCACCAGGGGAAUGAGAGGACCUCCAGGGCUCCUUGGGGAUGCUCCAGUGUCCCAAAAUCAGGGCAACAAGAGUCCAAGAAAAGAGAUGGGGAAGAAGAGCCCAAUGAGGCAGGGAGAACCAUGACCAUUAUGCCCUGAAAAAGCCACAUGCAGGAGUCUCAAGGAGAAGGGAGUGACCAACUGCCCAAUACAGCUGACGACCAUAUCAGACAAGACUGAGAACUGGCCACAGGAUUUGGCAACAUGGCAAGAGCUAUAUGAAUGGACUGGUGAGCACAUAAGAGGAGAGGAAGUGGAAGCUUCAGGAUUAGACAGGGGGCCAGGCACAGUAUCCCAUGCCAAUCCCAGCACUUUGGGAGGCCGAGACAGAAGGAUCACUUGAGGCCAGGAGUUCAAGACCAGCCUGGGCAACAGAGAGAGACCUCAUCUCUACAAAAAAGGAAAAAAAAAAGGAAAAUCAGCCUGGACAACAUAGGGAGACCCAGUCUCUAUCAAAAAAAGAAAAAAAAAGAUUUAAUUUUUUAAUUAGCUGGACAUGGUGGUAUGCACCUGUGGUGCUAGCUAUUCAAGAGGCUGAGGUGAGAUGAUCACUUGAGCCCAGGAGUUCGAGUUGCAGUGAGCUAUGUUCAUGCCACUGCAUUCCAGCCUGGGUGACAGAGCAAGACCCUGUCUCUAAAAGAACAAAAAAAAAAAAGAGAGAGAGAGAAAGAGGCUAGACAAGUCUCUGGAGGAGUUUUGUGCAAAAAGGAGCAGAGAACACUGAUGGUGUGAGAGUGAUGUUCUUCAGGAGAUGACAGUGAAUGGGAUCUGGGGACAAUGGAGGUCUUUGGGGCUGUUAGCUUGUUUGUUCUUCUCUGGCCAUUCCAGCACUCAGGGUCACCUUCCCCUCCAGGCCCCUCCACUCCAGUGACUCCUUUGGUGACUUAUCCACUCAUGCAUUCUGAGUCUUUCCUGUAUCACCUCCUGACCCCUCCAGUGGCUCAGUCACUAUCUAGCUGUGUGACCUUGGAUGAGUCACUUAACCUCACAAGAAGCAGCAAUCAGUGAGUCCGGUGACUUCAGUUUCUUCCAGUAUCAGGGUGGACAGAGAGUCACAGUGGUAGGACCUGGGGGUGUUUCUCUAAGGUAUGUGGAAAUUUAGGCUCCCCUUUGAUCUCAGAUUCAUGGAGAACCCAGAACUGGUUAUUAGAAAACUCUUGCGGAGUGAAUAGGUAAGCUUCUUUCAUAUUAAUUCUUCACUUGGCAAAUGCUUAAGUGCCUGCUCUAUCCAAGGGUGUGUCAGAGGUUUUGCAAGGGUGGAGGAUGAGCCUCUUGGAUUUUACCCUCAAAGAGCUCAUAACCUUGUGGGGUGGUGGGUGUGUCUAUUCAAAACCAUAACAGGGCAGACUCUCUGGCACAUCAUUUUGUGUUCAUCUUUAGGACCAGUUGUCACAGUUGCACACACAAAUUAAAGUUCCACAGGAGGUGGGAUGUUUUCGGUCUUGUACUCUAUGUGCCUGACACAUCGUAAGCAGUCAGUACAUGUUUGUUGAAUGAAAGCAGUAUUGAAUGGUACCAUUUAAUUUGUGUUUUGAAGCAAGGGUGGGAUUUGGACCUACACAGAUGGGCGAGGGGGCGCAUUGCAGACUGGCGGGGGUUGGGGUGGCUGGAGGCAGGAGGAGGGAAUGGCGGGAGCAGAUGUACAGAGACAGUGACACCCAAGGCAUGGUUGGUAAUUGCAGGCCGACUGUGACUGGAUCGUGUGAUAUGUCAGGAUGCAAAGAGACUGAAAAAGUAAGUUGGGGCCAGAUGGUGGAGAGGGUUGAAUUCAAGCUAUGUUAAAGGGAUCAGAUUUAUCUAUAGUAGGAUGAUCUCAUGUUCCCAUUUCCCAGGGUAGUUUUGCCUGUUGUCCCAGGGUGAUUAUUCAUGGUGGCCCCUUUCAUGCUCAAGUAUCCCUGUUUGGAUAAGUUAUGUGGUCCUGCAACCCUAAAGGCUUUGUGGAACCCCCAAAGGUUUCACAGAGGGACAGGGUCAGGCUAGCCUUGAAUGGUCAGUGCCCACAGUGUUUGCUGGACCUGGAGGCAGGAGCUGGGACACCCUCCAGUCUGGGCGAUACAGGUCAAAGUCUUUUGGUUAAUGGUAAAUCACCAACAGUGGCCAGGGUACGGUGAAAUGGGCACUCUUCAGGGAGUGCCCUGAAAUUGUUCCAGACCUUUUUUGGAAAUCAACUUUGCAGCACACGUCAAGAGCCUUGAAAACUGUCCAUGCCCUUUGUUAAUUCCACUUCUGGAAAUCUCUCCUAAGGAAAUAAUUCCAAAUAUAGAAAAGGUUCUUUGCAUAGACGUUCAUCAUAAAACUCUAUGCAACAGGUCUAGAGACAGCUCAGAAUGCCACAACAGAUGAUAUUAAGGACAUAGGAUAUAUCUAUCAAUGGACUCUAAGUUCCAUAGAACAGGGACAAUGUCUGAUUACAACCACUGUAUCCCCACAGCUAACAUAGUGUCUGACAUAUUUAAUGAAUAAACAAGUGAAUAAAAAUUUAUAUCAGGUUAAACAAAAAAGAUAUAAAACAAUCCUUAAAUAUGAUAUAUAAGUUCCCAUGUGGACACACUAUGCUCUCAACCAUUUUUUUAAAAAACAGACAUAUGUAUAUGACUAUGCAUAUGAAAACUUUUAAAAUGACUCCCCAAAAUGUAAACAGUGAUUAUGUCUGAGUGGUGGAACUCCUGAUAAUUUCCUUUUUUCAAUUUUAUUUUUGUAUAUAUUGUAUAUCUUUCAGAAUGAAUAUGAUUACUUUUAUAAUGGAAAAAAAAAGGCCACAUCAAUACUUUAAAAAAGAAAGGCUAGCAUUAGGCAGGGUUUUAGCACUCACAGCCAGGACGUGAUAAAGUUUUGCAUCUUCCAAGGGUUCCCAGUCAGUCUUUGUGGUAUGAGUCUCCAAUUCCAGCCAUGAUCCUCCUCUGUAAGGUGGGUACCUCCCACAAUGGGUGGCAGAGGGUCCACUUGCUGGCUAGAGAUGCCCUCCCACCCCCCCCACCACCCCCAGGAGCUAGAGAUACUGAGGGGUACUGGCUUUCACUGGGACAGUUCGUACACUUGUAAGCGGCCAUCAAAAAUGAUAUCUAGGCUGGGCACGGUGGCUCAUGCCUGUAAUCCCAGCACUUUGGAAGUCAGAGCAGAGCGGAUCACCUGAGGUCAGGAGUUCGAGACCAGCCUGGCCAACAUAGUGAAACCCCAUCUCUACUAAAAAUACAAAAAAAAAAAAAAAAUAGCUGGGUGUGGUGGCAGGCACCUGUAAUCCCAGUUACACAGGAGGCUGAGGCAGGAGAAUUGCUUGAAUCCAGGAGGCAGAAGCUGCAGUGAGCCAAGAUCGUGCCAUUGCACUCCAGCCUGGGCAGCAUGAGUGAAACUCCUUCUCAAAAAAAAAAAAAAAAAAAGAUAUCCAGCAAGAUGAAAAACUGUUGAUGAUACAGUUUUAAGUGAAAUAGAGCAGAAUACAAAAAGCCAUGUUCACUAAGAACAUAUCUAUGCAAACUAUGCACAUGGCAAAUAUUUAUCAAAAGAAUGAAAAAGCCUCACAAAAAAUAUGACCACAUGCAGCCAGAGAUGAGACAGACAACCAAAACUGAAUGCACCUUUUCAGCAAUAACAAUUUUAGAGACGUUCCCAGAACUAGGAUGGGUGUCUACAGGUUCUUACCCAGUGUCUCUAGGCUCCAGGGCAACCUGUUUCUUAGAGCAGAGCUUCUCAAACUUUAAUGUGCACACAAUUAACCUGGGAUCCUGAUAAAACAUGGAUUUGGAUUCAAUCGAGCUGGGCUGGCAACAAGGACUCUGAAUAUCUACAAGCUCCAGGUGAUGCUGGGGCACAGAACACACUCAACGAGGCUUCUACCCACUACCCCAAUUCUUAGCACCAAACACUUUCCCCAGAGGCCUAGCCUGGCCCUCCGUCCUCAAGCAUGUCUGCACCUGAAAUCAUCUUUGUCCCCAGCAUCUUGGCACCAUCGAGACUAAUAAUGAGAAGCAACUCCAGGCACUUGCGUGGGAUCCAGGGGGGCCUGAGGCCCCCAAUUCCUUGGGAAGCUUGAACAAUGACAUCUUUCUGGGGUGAUGGGAAGACAAAAGUGACUCCAUCUUGGAUGCUAAUUUUCCCAUGUUGACUUCUGAUUAGCCCCAGUCCCAUGAAUGCCUCCUGACUCCUACUUUAUUUACUGUCCCGAGUGUAAGAAUAUGUACUCCUGCUUUUAGAUCAAAGCAAGCUUGAUGUUAUCAUGCAAAUUCUGGGCUAUGAUGCACAUGGCGUUCUUGCCUGCUCUGGCACACUACCUUUCACUGUCUUGCUGGAGCAUGUAUAUCCUUUUCCCUUGGUAUAUAAGCCUUGGGUCCGAGAGUAACAGUGCAGAGAUCUGCCUGUCUUGUGGCCACCCGAGACCACCCGCCUGCUUAAAAGUUCCCUCAAUAAAUCACUCAAUACCAACAAACUGGAUUUGUCUGCUUCCUUCUUUGGUCUCUUGGCUCCUUUGGCAUUUGGGGGUUGCUUUGUGCAUGUGGGCUUUUCACAAAAUAGAUGGGUCCCGGAGCCUGGGCUUCGCUGGCAGGUGGUCACCUGGAGCAGCCAGCAGCAGAUGGCACCACAGGACAAGCACAAGCUGUGUCCAAGAGAGUGGCUCAAGAAAUCUGCCCAAAAUCCAACACAAAAAUGAACAAAGGAACUGAAUGGGAGAUGUGACCAAAAGAAGCGAUAAGACAAACAGCUCCAGGAGGGGAGCUGCUGGCUCAAAGAGCACUUGUCUUGGGCGUCAGUUCCACCGGUUCUUGGUCAGGGGUGAGAGCCCUAUGCCAGACCCCCUUUGCAGAACCUAUGCUGGCUUAUGAUGAGGCUCUUCCAGGGCUCCAGCACAUGAAUACCCUGCCCUGGGAGGCUAUAGUAGGCCAGCCACUGUCCACUCUGCUGGAGGGUCAGUCUGAGCCAACAGAACCAUGCGGAGACAUCCCAUCCAAUGCAGCCCAGGAGCAGUCUUGACAUUUCUUUCCCUGCAAGGACAGGCUGUCUGGUCCACACAUAGAUGAAGCCUUGGGCCUGGUUCAGCAUCCAGAGGACUAGGCCAUAACCCCCAAGGUAAGAUAUUCACACUCAUUGGAGCCCUUUCUCCUUUUUCCCUGGAUGGCUGGAGGAAGGGGACCCCUGCUUUUUUCAGCCAGUGCCCCAUGAAGUUAGACUCCCAGGACUCCCUGCCCCUGAUCCUACUUAAGGCCACUGGGAUGCCCAAUACCCUGAGGAAGCUUUGAAAGAUACGUGGCACAUUAUCUGGGGCAAGUCAGCUCAGUGGUCAGAGCACAGAGUGAAGGAGGCUGCAGCCAUAGCCUUGAGUUCUGGAGGCCUCUGUAGUGGGUCAACAGUGGGGAGAGCCACAGAGUCUCGGUCCAGCUACUGUAUCAAAUGAGGUCCUGGGAGGCAAGGAAGGGCAGGCAGGAGACUAUGGCUGCAGGAGCCUGAGCCCUGGCCCCCUUCCCAUGCUGGACUCCUGUCCAGCACCAAACAUUCAGCAGUGAGUGGCACCUUUACCAUCAACCCACCAUGGAAAACUUCCCUGGAGCUCUCUCCUUGUGCCAGGGCCUGUCCAUGGCAUGUAAGACACAAGCCCCAUGAUGGUAUGGAUUUCACCUGCAAGGCGCUUGCCAUCUCAUCGAGGAGAGGAACUUGCAGGCUGAUUUCCAUGUAAGGUGGAAGACACAGUGAUAGAGAAAAGGGAUGGAGUAGGAAGUGAGUCCUGGAAUUCCUGCUGCAGAGGGCUGUAAGCCAAGACUACUGCAUCUAUUGUCUUCAGCUGGAUGCGCUAAUGAUCUAACAGUAAUCCCACUGCUUUGCAUCCACAGAAUUC
rnacentral:lncRNA from 1 species